rnacentral:rRNA from 1 species
GAUGAACGCUGGCGGCGUGCCUAAUACAUGCAAGUCGAGCGAACGGACGAGAAGCUUGCUUCUCUGAUGUUAGCGGCGGACGGGUGAGUAACACGUGGAUAACCUACCUAUAAGACUGGGAUAACUUCGGGAAACCGGGGCUAAUUACGGCUAAUAUUUUGAACCUCAUGGUUCAAAAGUGAAAGACGGUCUUGCUGUCACUUAUAGAUGGAUCCGCGCUGCAUUAGCUAGUUGGUAAGGUAACGGCUUACCAAGGAAACGAUGCAUAGCCGACCUGAGAGGGGGAGCGGCCACACUGGAACUGAGACACGGUCCAGACUCCUACGGGAGGCAGCAGUAGGGAAUCUUCCGCAAUGGGCGAAAGCCUGACGGAGAAACGCCGCGUGAGUGAUGAAGGUCUUCGGAUCGUAAAACUCUGUUAUUAGGGAAGAACAUAUGUGUAAGUAACUGUGCACAUCUUGACGGUACCUAAUCAGAAAGCCACGGCUAACUACGUG